rfam:Eutrema salsugineum unplaced genomic scaffold scaffold_11, whole genome shotgun sequence.
AACCCAUGAUGAGGACAAUCGCUAGUAUAUCCUUUAAGUCUGUCCCAUGCCUCAUGAAAGGUCACAUAGAUGCCUUGUUUUGAAGCUCAAGAUGUUUCUACUAGUUU